UACGUAGGGGGCAAGCGUUGUCCGGAUUUAUUGGGCGUAAAGAGCGUGUAGGCGGCCUGAAAGGUCAGCUGUGAAAACUCGAGGCUCAACCUCGAGACGUCGGUUGAAACCAUCUGCUAGAGUCCGGAAGAGGAGAGUGGAAUUCCCGGUGUAGCGGUGAAAUGCGCAGAUAUCAGGAAGAACACCCGUGGCGAAAGCGGCUCUCGUGGAACGGUACUGACGCUGAGACGCGAAAGCGUGGGGAGCGAACAGG
rnacentral:rRNA from 1 species